rnacentral:tRNA from 3 species
GGGGGCUUAGCUCAAUUGGGAGAGCGCCGCCUUUGCAAGGCGGAUGUUAUCGGUUCGACUCCGUUAGCCUCCA